UACGAAGGGUGCAAGCGUUAAUCGGAAUUACUGGGCGUAAAGGGAGCGUAGGCGGCUUUUUAAGUCGGAUGUGAAAUCCCCGGGCUUAACCUGGGAAUGGCAUCCGAUACUGGGGAGCUAGAGUUUGGGAGAGGGGAGUGGAACUGCGAGUGUAGAGGUGAAAUUCGUAGAUAUUCGCAAGAACACCAGUGGCGAAGGCGGCUCACUGGCCCGAUACUGACGCUGAUGCACGAAAGCGUGGGGAGCAAACAGG
rnacentral:rRNA from 1 species